AGGUGCCUUGAAUGGCUUCUAAACAAUUUGAUGACUCACCAGAAUGUUGAACUUUUUAAAGAACUCAGGUAUUUGAAUUUCAAGUAACUUUAUAAUUAGUCAUCCUAAAAUAUUGUUUAUCAUUUGUUAAAGUACAUAACAUUUUUGUAGAACACAAAAAUAUAUUAUGAAAAAGCUUUCUUCUAAAGGCCUGUUUGUGUGUCUGGCAUAUGUUUUACUUCAUGCUUUUGAAAAGUUUCAACAUUUUAAAAAUCUAAUUUUAUUUUCAC
rnacentral:lncRNA from 1 species